rnacentral:rRNA from 1 species
UACGUAGGCAGCAAGCGUUGUUCGGAGUUACUGGGCGUAAAGGGUGCGUAGGCGGCUUUUUAAGUUUGGUGUGAAAUCUCCCGGCUCAACUGGGAGGGUGCGCCGAAUACUGAGAAGCUAGAGUGUGGGAGAGGAAAAGUGGAAUUCCUGGUGUAGCGGUGAAAUGCGUAGAUAUCAGGAGGAACACCGGUGGCGAAGGCGGGACUCUGGGCCGAUACUGACGCUGAGGAGCGAAAGCGUGGGGAGCAAACAGG